rnacentral:lncRNA from 1 species
AGGUCAGCCAGGUGGCACCCACCAGCCGCUACACCGAGGUGGGAAGCUGAGGCACAUGUCCUAAGGCCUCAGGUGAAUCCCAGAGCCCACUUCACGGAGGUCCUGGCUUCAACAGCAAGAAAGACAUGAUACAACGCAGCUGGAGAUGAGAGGAAUCUGGGGUCUCACCCUAAGUCUUUCCACAUAGGAAUUUGUACAAUCACAGGGAAGGGGCAUGUCGUCCUUAUUCUUGAGGAGCACCAAGAGCCUGGUGAGAGAGCUGGGCAGGAAGGGUGAGCUGGUGCCUGUGGACAGCCUCAGCAGCUCACAGCGCCUGCGCCCCUUCUGCCUGGUGAGGAAGAAGCACAAGAGCUACCUCUGGCCUUGGGACACACCCCUCAUCCCCACAGACUUCUCCCUCCUCGAUGUGCUGGAGCCUGGCUGUCCUGACCCAGAGGUGAACCACAGUGGGCCUAUCUACACCUGGGAGAAGGAGGCAGGAGGAUUGACAGGGGCUGUGAGCCUGAGUGCUGGGCUACAGGGCCAGGCGACUGGAAGUGGCAAGACCACCCGCCUCUCUGCCUUGGCUGUGCAGACACUCUGGGUCUCCCCUUGUACCUGGGAGAUGCUGCUAGAGAAGAGGAAACUGAGGUCACCCAGGCCCUCCUUCCUCCAGGAGCUACACAGCCGGAAGGAGAGGGAGAGUCUAUACGUGGUAACUGAGGCUGUGGAGACCCUGCAAGAUGCCAUGCUUCAGAGCCACAGCCACAUGCUAGGAGCUGGGCAGCUGUCCCUCCUACAGUUGGGCCAUGGUCAGGUCCAGGGACAGAGGAAUGUGGACACAGAGAAAAUGGUGAGCAUCCCACAGGGCAGUGUACUGGCCUACAGGGUUCUGCAGCUGCUGGUGGAAGAAGAUGGCUGGGGAGUGAUGUUGUCUCUCCAGCCUAGAGGAUGAGAGCUGGAGCCUCUGAACCAGGGGUCCCAGAAACAGAGGAGUCUAGCAGCCCUGGAAGAGAAAGCUAGGACAGCCUUUGUGCCUGAGAAGU